rnacentral:rRNA from 1 species
GGUUAAGCGACUAAGCGUACACGGUGGAUGCCCUGGCAGUCAGAGGCGAUGAAGGACGUGCUAAUCUGCGAAAAGCGUCGGUAAGGUGAUAUGAACCGUUAUAGCCGGCGAUGUCCGAAUGGGGAAACCCAGUGUGAUUCGUCACACUAUCGUUAACUGAAUACAUAGGUUAACGAGGCGAACCGGGGGAACUGAAACAUCUAAGUACCCCGAGGAAAAGAAAUCAACCGAGAUUCCCCCAGUAGCGGCGAGCGAACGGGGAGCAGCCCAGAGUCUGAAUCAGCUUGUGUGUUAGUGGAACGGUCUGGAAAGUCCGACGGUACAGGGUGAUAGUCCCGUACACCAAAAUGCACAGGUUGUGAACUCGAAGAGUAGGGCGGGACACGUGGUAUCCUGUCUGAAUAUGGGGGGACCAUCCUCCAAGGCUAAAUACUCCUGACUGACCGAUAGUGAACCAGUACCGUGAGGGAAAGGCGAAAAGAACCCCGGCGAGGGGAGUGAAAAAGAACCUGAAACCGUGUACGUACAAGCAGUGGGAGCACCUUUAUGGUGUGACUGCGUACCUUUUGUAUAAUGGGUCAGCGACUUAUAUUCUGUAGCAAGGUUAACCGUAUAGGGGAGCCGCAGGGAAACCGAGUCUUAACUGGGCGUUAAGUUGCAGGGUAUAGACCCGAAACCCGGUGAUCUAGCCAUGGGCAGGUUGAAGGUUGGGUAACACUAACUGGAGGACCGAACCGACUAAUGUUGAAAAAUUAGCGGAUGACUUGUGGCUGGGGGUGAAAGGCCAAUCAAACCGGGAGAUAGCUGGUUCUCCCCGAAAGCUAUUUAGGUAGCGCCUCGUGAACUCAUCUUCGGGGGUAGAGCACUGUUUCGGCUAGGGGGUCAUCCCGACUUACCAACCCGAUGCAAACUACGAAUACCGAAGAAUGUUAUCACGGGAGACACACGGCGGGUGCUAACGUCCGUCGUGAAGAGGGAAACAACCCAGACCGCCAGCUAAGGUCCCAAAGUCAUGGUUAAGUGGGAAACGAUGUGGGAAGGCACAGACAGCCAGGAUGUUGGCUUAGAAGCAGCCAUCAUUUAAAGAAAGCGUAAUAGCUCACUGGUCGAGUCGGCCUGCGCGGAAGAUGUAACGGGGCUAAACCAUGCACCGAAGCUGCGGCAGCGACACGAUGUGUUGUUGGGUAGGGGAGCGUUCUGUAAGCCUGCGAAGGUGACCUGUGAGGGUUGCUGGAGGUAUCAGAAGUGCGAAUGCUGACAUAAGUAACGAUAAAGCGGGUGAAAAGCCCGCUCGCCGGAAGACCAAGGGUUCCUGUCCAACGUUAAUCGGGGCAGGGUGAGUCGACCCCUAAGGCGAGGCCGAAAGGCGUAGUCGAUGGGAAACAGGUUAAUAUUCCUGUACUUGGUGUUACUGCGAAGGGGGGACGGAGAAGGCUAUGUUAGCCGGGCGACGGUUGUCCCGGUUUAAGCAUGUAGGCUGGUUAUCCAGGCAAAUCCGGAUAAUCAAGGCUGAGGUGUGAUGACGAGGCACUACGGUGCUGAAGUAACAAAUGCCCUGCUUCCAGGAAAAGCCUCUAAGCAUCAGGUAACAUCAAAUCGUACCCCAAACCGACACAGGUGGUCAGGUAGAGAAUACCAAGGCGCUUGAGAGAACUCGGGUGAAGGAACUAGGCAAAAUGGUGCCGUAACUUCGGGAGAAGGCACGCUGGUGUGUAGGUGAAGUCCCUGCGGAUGGAGCUGAGACCAGUCGAAGAUACCAGCUGGCUGCAACUGUUUAUUAAAAACACAGCACUGUGCAAACACGAAAGUGGACGUAUACGGUGUGACGCCUGCCCGGUGCCGGAAGGUUAAUUGAUGGGGUUAUCCGUAAGGAGAAGCUCUUGAUCGAAGCCCCGGUAAACGGCGGCCGUAACUAUAACGGUCCUAAGGUAGCGAAAUUCCUUGUCGGGUAAGUUCCGACCUGCACGAAUGGCGUAAUGAUGGCCAGGCUGUCUCCACCCGAGACUCAGUGAAAUUGAACUCGCUGUGAAGAUGCAGUGUACCCGCGGCAAGACGGAAAGACCCCGUGAACCUUUACUAUAGCUUGACACUGAACAUUGAGCCUUGAUGUGUAGGAUAGGUGGGAGGCUUUGAAGCGUGGACGCCAGUCUGCGUGGAGCCAACCUUGAAAUACCACCCUUUAAUGUUUGAUGUUCUAACGUUGGCCCCUUACCGGGGUUGCGGACAGUGUCUGGUGGGUAGUUUGACUGGGGCGGUCUCCUCCCAAAGCGUAACGGAGGAGCACGAAGGUUAGCUAAUCCUGGUCGGACAUCAGGAGGUUAGUGCAAUGGCAUAAGCUAGCUUGACUGCGAGCGUGACGGCGCGAGCAGGUGCGAAAGCAGGUCAUAGUGAUCCGGUGGUUCUGAAUGGAAGGGCCAUCGCUCAACGGAUAAAAGGUACUCCGGGGAUAACAGGCUGAUACCGCCCAAGAGUUCAUAUCGACGGCGGUGUUUGGCACCUCGAUGUCGGCUCAUCACAUCCUGGGGCUGAAGUAGGUCCCAAGGGUAUGGCUGUUCGCCAUUUAAAGUGGUACGCGAGCUGGGUUUAGAACGUCGUGAGACAGUUCGGUCCCUAUCUGCCGUGGGCGCUGGAGAAUUGAGGGGGGCUGCUCCUAGUACGAGAGGACCGGAGUGGACGCAUCACUGGUGUUCGGGUUGUCAUGCCAAUGGCACUGCCCGGUAGCUAAAUGCGGAAGAGAUAAGUGCUGAAAGCAUCUAAGCACGAAACUUGCCCCGAGAUGAGUUCUCCCUGAGACUUUAAGUCUCCUGAAGGAACGUUGAAGACGACGACGUUGAUAGGCCGGGUGUGUAAGCGCAGCGAUGCGUUGAGCUAACCGGUACUAAUGAACCGUGAGGCUUAACCUU